UACAGAGGGGGCAAGCGUUGUUCGGAAUUACUGGGCGUAAAGGGCUCGUAGGCGGCCAACUAAGUCAGACGUGAAAUCCCUCGGCUUAACCGGGGAACUGCGUCUGAUACUGGAUGGCUUGAGUGUGGGAGAGGGAUGCGGAAUUCCAGGUGUAGCGGUGAAAUGCGUAGAUAUCUGGAGGAACACCGGUGGCGAAGGCGGCAUCCUGGACCACGACUGACGCUGAGUGAGCGAAAGCCAGGGGAGCAAACGGG
rnacentral:rRNA from 1 species